GUGGGGAAUAUUGGACAAUGGGCGCAAGCCUGAUCCAGCAAUGCCGCGUGGGUGAAGAAGGUCUUCGGAUCGUAAAGCCCUUUCGACAGGGACGAUGAUGACGGUACCUGUAGAAGAAGCCCCGGCUAACUUCGUGCCAGCAGCCGCGGUAAUACGAAGGGGGCUAGCGUUACUCGGAAUUACUGGGCGUAAAGGGCGCGUAGGCGGCUCUGUUAGUCAGGCGUGACAUUCCUGGGCUUAACCUGGGGACUGCGCUUGAUACUGCAGGGCUUGAGGCCGAGAGAGGGUGGUGGAAUUCCCAGUGUAGAGGUGAAAUUCGUAGAUAUUGGGAAGAACACCGGUGGCGAAGGCGACCACCUGGCUCGGUUCUGACGCUGAGGCGCGACAGCGUGGGGAGCAAACAGGAUUAGAAACCCGAGUAGUCC
rnacentral:rRNA from 1 species